UACGUGGGGAGCAAGCGUUGUCCGGAAUCAUUGGGCGUAAAGCGCGCGUAGGUGGCUUCAUAAGUCCGUUGUGAAAGUCAAAGGCUCAACCUUUGAAAGCCGAUGGAUACUGUGGAGCUAGAGUACGGAAGAGGAGAGCGGAAUUCCACGUGUAGCGGUGAAAUGCGUAGAGAUGUGGAGGAACACCAGUGGCGAAGGCGGCUCUCUGGACUGUAACUGACGCUGAGGCGCGAAAGCGUGGGGAGCAAACAGG
rnacentral:rRNA from 1 species